AGUGAACGCUGGCGGUAGGCCUAACACAUGCAAGUCGAACGGCAGCACAGUAAGAGCUUGCUCUUACGGGUGGCGAGUGGCGGACGGGUGAGGAAUACAUCGGAAUCUACUUUUUCGUGGGGGAUAACGUAGGGAGACUUACGCUAAUACCGCAUACGACCUACGGGUGAAAGCAGGGGAUCUUCGGACCUUGCGCGAUUGAAUGAGCCGAUGUCGGAUUAGCUAGUUGGCGGGGUAAAGGCCCACCAAGGCGACGAUCCGUAGCUGGUCUGAGAGGAUGAUCAGCCACACUGGAACUGAGCCACGGUCCAGACUCCUACGGGAGGCAGCAGUGGGGAAUAUUGGACAAUGGGCGAAAGCCUGAUCCAGCCAUACCGCGUGGGUGAAGAAGGCCUUCGGGUUGUAAAGCCCUUUUGUUGGGAAAGAAAAGCAGCAGGUUAAUACCCCGCUGUUCUGACGGUACCCAAAGAAUAAGCACCGGCUAACUUCGUG
rnacentral:rRNA from 1 species